UACGAAGGGGGCUAGCGUUGCUCGGAAUUACUGGGCGUAAAGCGCACGUAGGCGGAUCUUUAAGUCAGGGGUGAAAUCCUGGAGCUCAACUCCAGAACUGCCUUUGAUACUGAGGACCUUGAGUUCGGGAGAGGUGGAGUGGAACUGCGAGUGUAGAGGUGAAAUUCGUAGAUAUUCGCAAGAACACCAGUGGCGAAGGCGGCUCACUGGCCCGAUACUGACGCUGAGGUGCGAAAGCG
rnacentral:rRNA from 1 species